rnacentral:rRNA from 1 species
UACGUAGGGACCGAGCGUUGUCCGGAUUCAUUGGGCGUAAAGAGCUCGUAGGCGGCCACUCAAGUCGAAUGUGAAACCUCGAGGCUUAACCUCGAGCCUGCAUUCGAUACUGGGCGGCUAGAGUCUGGUAGGGGGAUCUGGAAUUCCUGGUGUAGCGGUGAAAUGCGCAGAUAUCAGGAGGAACACCGGUGGCGAAGGCGGGUCUCUGGGCCGAUAUUGACGCUGAGGAGCGAAAGCGUGGGGAGCAACAGG